CAGGGAAUAUUAGUAAUGGGCGAAAGCCUGAACUAGCAACGCCGCGUGUGCGAAGAAGGCCUUCGGGUUGUAAAGCACUUUUUGAGAGGAUGAGGAGGGACGGUACUCUCAGAAUAAGUCUCGGCUAACUACGUGCCAGCAGCCGCGGUAACACGUAGGAGGCGAACGUUAUCCGGAUUUACUGGGCGUAAAGCGCGUGUAGGUGGUUUGGUAAGUAGGGCGUGAAAGCUCCUGGCUCAACUGGGAGAGGCCGUUCUAAACUGCCGAACUAGAGGAUGGUAGAGGGAGGUGGAAUUCCGGGUGUAGCGGUGGAAUGCGCAGAUAUCCGGGGGAACACCAGUGGCGAAAGCGGCCUCCUGGACCAUUCCUGACACUCAGACGCGAAAGCUAGGGUAGCAAACGG
rnacentral:rRNA from 1 species